AGGAACUUGGCACAUAAUAAAAAGUACAAAAAGGCAGAAAUAAAUCUAUAAGUUCCAGAUGCAUAUAUCCAACGACCUACUUGGUAUAUUCACACAAGUAAUUCACAGAUAUCUCAGACUUGGCAUGUCCAGACUGAACUCUUGGUUCAGACUCUUCCAUUUCCCAAAACCUUUUCCUCCCUCAAUCUUCCUCAUCUCUCCAAAUAGCACCACCAUUCACCUACUUGGUCAAGUCAAAACACUGGAAAUCAUCCUGUGAAGAGACGAAUCUCCCUUAUUUGCUAGAUGAUACUCAGGCCCCCUAUAUGGGCAGCUAUCAUCUGAGAUCUGAAUGUUCCUCUUGCCAACAAGGCCAGUCCCCCUUGGAA